rnacentral:rRNA from 1 species
UACAGAGGUCUCAAGCGUUGUUCGGAUUCAUUGGGCGUAAAGGGUGCGUAGGUGGCGAGGUAAGUCGGAUGUGAAAUCCCGGGGCUCAACCCCGGAACUGCAUUCGAUACUGCCCUGCUAGAGUACUGGAGAGGAGAUUGGAAUUUACGGUGUAGCAGUGAAAUGCGUAGAUAUCGUAAGGAAGACCAGUGGCGAAGGCGGAUCUCUGAGACAUGUCUGACACUGAGGCACGAAAGGCCAGGGGGAGCAAACGGGG